AAAUGACUCUCGGCAACGGAUAUCUCGGCUCUUGCAUCGAUGAAGAACGUAGCGAAAUGCGAUACUUGGUGUGAAUUGCAGAAUCCCGUGAACCAUCGAGUCUUUGAACGCAAGUUGCGCCCGAAACCAUUAGGUUGAGGGCACGCCUGCCUGGGUGUCACA
rnacentral:rRNA from 1 species